UUACUACUUGUCUAUGCGUUUCAAACCUUCAUGGGUCCCCAGAGUCUGCUUAGAGAGGGAAGUGAGGGGGACUUGAAUGGCCUGUGUCUUCAAAGUCUUGAGCUGUGGAAUGCAUCAAAGUGCCAGAAGCCACAGAACACCAGGGGAUGUCAACAAGGUGUCAGGGACUCCUGGGGAGGUGGACUGGGACCUAUCUACUUGUUAUCUCCUGGGAAGCAACCAGCUCAGAUGAGCAGAAAAUGGAUCUCCUUCUCCCAGGAGCUCAUUUAACUGAUUUUGAAAUAUGUCUGAUUCCAGCGUUAGGACAAACUUCAGCCUGUUGCUAACAGGGAGUUCUCUGUUGGGUUUUACUAGGGAACUGAUGGACAUGGAAGCUAAAGUCAGUACUAAAGAGGAAACCAACUUCCCAAGCAGUUGCUGGUAAGACAUGCUAGACAUUCCCUUAAUACAUUUUCAAAGGUAACUAAGAUGCACUCACACAUGCUGAAUUGUUAGUAUGGCAAGUAUAGAACAAACAUUUACCCAAAUAGUUCGAUAGGAGCAACAGGAAGUUUAAUUGGCUCUGAAAGCAAAAUGUUAACUAGAAAUAUAGAAUUAACAAUACGUAACUGAUGACCUUCACUGGAAAUACAAUAUGUAGUAUGUGUUCUAGCAAACAAAAAGGCAGAUUAUAUUUCAUUUGAAAAUAUAAAGAGAAAAACUAGAUCUUCUCUUUUUUAUAGUACCUUAAUAUCCAAG
rnacentral:lncRNA from 1 species